rnacentral:rRNA from 1 species
AGACCCGAAACCCGGUGAUCUAGCCAUGGGCAGGUUGAAGGUUGGGUAACACUAACUGGAGGACCGAACCGACUAAUGUUGAAAAAUUAGCGGAUGACCUGUGGCUGGGGGUGAAAGGCCAAUCAAACCGGGAGAUAGCUGGUUCUCCCCGAAAGCUAUUUAGGUAGCGCCUCGUGAAUUCAUCUCCGGGGGUAGAGCACUGUUUCGGCCAGGGGGCCAUCCCGGCUUACCAAUCCGAUGCAAACUGCGAAUACCGGAGAAUGUUAUCACGGGAGACACACGGCGGGUGCUAACGUCCGUCGUGAAGAGGGAAACAACCCAGACCGCCAGCUAAGGUCCCAAAGUCAUGGUUAAGUGGGAAACGAUGUGGGAAGGCCCAGACAGCCAGGAUGUUGGCUUAGAAGCAGCCAUCAUUUAAAGAAAGCGUAAUAGCUCACUGGUCGAGUCGGCCUGCGCGGAAGAUGUAACGGGGCUAAACCAUGCACCGAAGCUGCGGCAGCGAACGUAUCACCCAAGACAACUUUACACAGUUGACGCCUGACGGAGCGAAGCGACGUCAAAGCGUUUUACAACGUCGAGUUGGCUUAGGGAUACGUUCGUUGGGUAGGGGAGCGUUCUGUAAGCCGUUGAAGGUGUGUCGUGAGGCAUGCUGGAGGUAUCAGAAGUGCGAAUGCUGACAUAAGUAACGAUAAAGCGGGUGAAAAGCCCGCUCGCCGGAAGACCAAGGGUUCCUGUCCAACGUU